AUAUAUUUUAUUUAUUUUUUGAAGUAAGCUCUACAUCCAACAUAGGGCUUGAACUCAUGACCCCAAGAUCAAGUCACGCGCUGUACUGACUGAGCCAGCCAGGCACCCCAUCAUACUUCCUUAUUUUUGCAUUUCUACUUUAAAGAGGAGUGAUAUCUAAGAAGUGUAUCCUCAUUAUUCAUUUUACAUGAGCAGUUCUAUUUCUGGCAUCUCUUCUGUGGACUACUGGAGACAUCUUACGUUUCAUUUAAGCCCGUCUUCGUUACUCCUUUGCAAUACCAAGUUGCAGUCUCUGGCUAAGUCUUAUCUCCUUACUUCAUUUACUAUAGAUACUGGGAUACUGUUGCUCCACCUUUUCCCUAUUCUCGUUCCUAAUUAUUUUCUAGUGGCAUAAAUUUUCAUACCUGAUUGUCUUUGGAUGUAGGGGAACAGAACUUGCAGUAUUGAUUUAUCAUGUAUGUUAUUGUCUAUCCUUUCUAUGACCGUUGUUAAACAACAGUGCAAUCUUCUAUUGUCCUUCUCCACACUUCUUCACUCAGUGUUGGUUCUUCUGUUUGCACGAUGGUCCAGCUACAUGCAGUAUUUAAAACAAUUUUUAAAAGUGACAAUUCCUUACAAAACUCCAUUAACUUUUUAAAAAGAUUUUAUUUAUUUGUCAUAGAGAGCAAGCACGGGGAGUGGCAGGCAGAGGGAUUCCUGCUGAGCAGGGAGUCCCAUGCGAGACUUGAUCUCAGGACCCUGGGAUCAUGACCCAAGCUGAAGGCAGGUGCUUAACCGACUGAGCCACCCAUGGGUCCCCAUUAAUUUCUAUUUUAUAUGUGCCUGACCCUUCCCAUUGCCUGACUCACUUUUCUCUUUCUGCACUCAAUUCUGUCAGAAUGUAGCUGUUUCCCAAAGGAAGGGAUGGAGGACGGACAAAACCAAUACAUACCUGCCGCACCAUUUUCAGGGUGGGAGAAAUCUAUUUCUGAAGUCUGAUGGGGAAGAAAAAUGUUGCAUCUGUCUUUAAAAAUAAGUGGAACAUUACCUUCAACAAGAAACAUCCUAAUUAAAAGGCUUUAUUCCAAGAACUCAAAAAGAU
rnacentral:lncRNA from 1 species